rnacentral:rRNA from 1 species
CUGCAUGGCUGUCGUCAGCUCGUGUCGUGAGAUGUUGGGUUAAGUCCGUAACGAGCGCAACCCUGUCCUUAGUUACCAGCACGUUAUGGUGGGCGACUCUAAGGAGACUGCCGGUGACAAACCGGAGGAAGGUGGGGAGUGACGUCAAAUCAUCAUGGCCCUUACGGCCUGGGCUACACACGUGCUACAAUGGUCGGUACAAAGGGUUGCCAAGCCGCGAGGUGGAGCUAAUCCCAUAAAACCGAUCGUAGUCCGGAUCGCAGUCUGCAACUCGACUGCGUGAAGUCGGAAUCGCUAGUAAUCGUGAAUCAGAAUGUCACGGUGAAUACGUUCCCGGGCCUU